rnacentral:rRNA from 1 species
UAACACAUGCAAGUCGAACGGCUCUUCGGAGCAGUGGCGGACGGGUGAGUAACGCGUGGGAACGUGCCCUUUGGUUCGGAACAACACAGGGAAACUUGUGCUAAUACCGGAUGAGCCCUUCGGGGGAAAGAUUUAUCGCCAUUGGAGCGGCCCGCGUUGGAUUAGGUAGUUGGUGGGGUAAAGGCCCACCAAGCCGACGAUCCAUAGCUGGUCUGAGAGGAUGAUCAGCCACACUGGGACUGAGACACGGCCCAGACUCCUACGGGAGGCAGCAGUGGGGAAUCUUGCGCAAUGGGCGAAAGCCUGACGCAGCCAUGCCGCGUGAAUGAUGAAGGUCUUAGGAUUGUAAAAUUCUUUCACCGGGGAAGAUAAUGACGGUACCCGGAGAAGAAGCCCCGGCUAACUUCGUGCCAGCAGCCGCGGUAAUACGAAGGGGGCUAGCGUUGCUCGGAAUUACUGGGCGUAAAGGGCGCGUAGGCGGACAGUUUAGUCAGAGGUAAAAGCCCAGGGCUCAACCUUGGAACUGCCUUUGAUACUGGCUGUCUUGAGUUCGGGAGAGGUGAGUGGAAUGCCGAGUGUAGAGGUGAAAUUCGUAGAUAUUCGGCGGAACACCAGUGGCGAAGGCGACUCACUGGCCCGAUACUGACGCUGAGG